rnacentral:rRNA from 1 species
CCUACGGGAGGCAGCAGUGGGGAAUAUUGGGCAAUGGAGGAAACUCUGACCCAGCAACGCCGCGUGAAUGAUGAAGGUCUUCGGAUUGUAAAGUUCUUUUCUAAGGGAAGAAGAAAGUGACGGUACCUUAGGAAUAAGCCUCGGCUAACUACGUGCCAGCAGCCGCGGUAAUACGUAGGAGGCAAGCGUUAUCCGGAAUGACUGGGCGUAAAGGGGGCGUAGGUGGUUUGACAAGUUGGUAGCGUAACUCCGGGGCUCAACCUCGGCACUACUACCAAAACUGUCGGACUUGAGUGCAGGAGGGGCAAAUGGAAUUCCUAGUGUAGCGGUGGAAUGCGUAGAUAUUAGGAGGAACACCAGUGGCGAAGGCGAUUUGCUGGACUGUAACUGACACUGAGGCACGAAAGCGUGGGGAGCAAACAGGAUUAGAUACCCUUGUAGUC